rnacentral:SRP_RNA from 13 species
AGGCCCGAAAGGAAGCAGGCGCCAACGAGG